rnacentral:rRNA from 1 species
GACGAACGCUGGCGGCGUGCUUAACACAUGCAAGUCGAACGAAGUGGCGAACGGGUGAGUAACGCGUAAUCAACCUGCCCUUCAGAGGGGGACAACAGUUGGAAACGACUGCUAAUACCGCAUACUGAAGGAGGGGUUUGCGUCUGAUUAGCUAGUUGGAGGGGUAACGUCCCACCAAGGCGCAGAUCAGUAGCCGGUCUGAGAGGAGUAAACGCCAAAUUGUGAAUGCGACACGGCCCAGACUUCUUAGGGAGGCAGGAAUGGGGAAUAUUCCGCAAUUGAGGAAAGUCUGACGGAGCAACGCCGCGGGGGUGAUGAAGGCCUUCGGGUUGGAAAGCUCUGUUAAUCGGGACGCGGUACCUGAAUAGAAAGCCACGGCUAACUACGUGCCAGCAGCCGCGGUAAUUC